GCCGCUGCCUCAGUCCACCACCGGAUCCAACGGAGGCAGCUUCAAAGAGGAGAACCGGAGAGGGACGUGACUAGAAGGGGGGAGACUCAGUCCGGCUGUGAUGCGUAGAGAGAAGCUCUGCGGGUUCAACAACACAACUCCUUCGAUGGGAUAAAACCUCCUGGACGCAUUGAACCUGCUCUUUUUACGCACACGCAGAGGACUGAGAAAUGCUCCUGGAGCGCGAGUGACACUAUCGAUUUUCGCUUCGUUAGAAAUAUCUUGGACCAGAAGGGAUCCUGCGCAAGUUUUCUUUUUUAAAUUUUUACUUCAAAUCACACACAAGUCGUUGUCUGUUUUUAUUUAUUUAUUUAUUUUGUAUUACUUGGAGCCAAAAGCGCAGGACGGACGAGAUGGAGAUCGAAAAGUACUUACCAGAGCUUAUGGCAGAGAAGGACACGCUGGAUCCGUCUUUUCAGCACUCCAUGCGGUUACUGGAUCAAGAGAUUGAAAAAAUCCAGAAAGAUGAAGGGAAGGAGGAGGAGAAGUUCAUCGACGUUGUCAUCAACAAGAACAUGAAACUGGGCCAGAAAGUUUUAAUACCAGUCAAGCAGUUUCCUAAAUUUAACUUUGUCGGCAAACUCCUCGGGCCACGUGGGAACUCGUUAAAGAGACUACAGGAGGACACUCUCACAAAGAUGUCAAUUCUCGGAAAAGGAUCCAUGAGAGACAAAGAAAAGGAAGAGGAGCUACGGCAAAGCGGAGAGGCCAAAUACCAGCACCUGAACGAAGACCUGCACGUCCUCAUCGAGGUGUUUGCUCCUCCAGCUGAGGCCUACGCCAGGAUGGGUCACGCUCUGGAGGAGAUCAAGAAGUUCCUCAUACCAGAUUACAAUGAUGAGAUCAGACAGGCCCAGCUGCAGGAGCUCACAUACCUGAACGGAGGAUCGGAGGAUGCCAAGGUGCCGUCGGUGAGGGGCAAGUCAGCCGCCCGUGGAAGAGGGACACCUGUUCCAGGGCCUCCCAGGACUCGAGGAGGCGUCCCCCCCCUCCAUGCCGCCGUGCCCCGAGGAGCAGCACCCAGAGGAGCCCCGCCCAUCCGUGCUCCAUCUUCCAGAGGGAGGGGGGUGCAGAGAGCCAGAGGUGCCCCCCCAACCGCUGGAUACCGGCCAGCUCCUCCUAUAGUGCAGGACACAUAUGGAGAAUAUGACUAUGACGACGGCUACGGAACAGCUUAUGACGACCAAGGAUAUGAAUCGUACGACAACAACUACAGUAAUCAAGGACAAAACUCAGAUGACUACUAUGAAUACGGUCACAGCGGAGAGUCAUAUGAUUCAUAUGGUCAGGAAGAAUGGGCAAACAGUCACGGCAAGGCGCCGUCAGCACGGACCACCAAGGGAGUGUACAGAGAUCAGCCAUACUCCAGAUAUUGAACUGUUUAUACAACCUGCACCCGAAUCCUCAUGGCUGUUUCAACCCAAGUCAAAGUCCUGACUACACCAGGCCAUCUGUCUGAUUGUGUCACUGAUGCUGAAGAUUCAACCCCACACACUCUUCCCUCCACAUACUCCAGCUCAUCCUGAAACCCUGCCAGACUCUUUCUACCCCUUAAACAGAGGACGUUCUCCGGGCCUGGACGGUCUGGAACAGGACUGACCUGUUGUUUGUAAAACCAGACGACGGACGCAAACACAAUCCGUACAUCGCACAUCCUCCAGAAAAAAAGGUUAACCCAUGAGCAAAUGGACUUCCCCCUCACCCUCUGGGACGAUCUGUCGGAGAUUAUUUCCUGCUCUGUAUACAUUUUACAUCCACACCGGAGUGCUCUGAACUGAACGUGAACCUGUGUCUUCAUCGACUCAGACUGUUGUCGGGGAUGCUUCCACUUCCUACAUUAGACAUUAACCGUCGACUACAAGGGGAGGAGAUGAGUAAAUAAAUAAUGCAACAUGCUUUGGGAAUGAUGGCAUAUUUCUAGCAAAGACACUUAAUCGCAUAUUGUUGUGCUCAUUAACCUAUAUCCAAUCCACUCAAAUGUAUUAAUAAUUCACCAAGUGCCUUAUUGUUGUACAGCUAUGACAGUUUUAGAUGUUUAAUCCCAUUGCUGGAGAUAAAAUAUGGGGCAGUACACCAAAAAACGGUAGCUAUUUUUUCCUCUUUUAUUGUUUUUUUUUUUUUUUUUGCUUGAAAUAAUACAAGUAUAUACAGUGGAGCUGCUGGAAAACACCACCCAUCCCAUCCGCACAUAAGAGAGCAGAUGUACGUCUUAAUGAGAAUCGACUUCAGUGGAUAUUACAAUUCCAAAAUAGCUUUCUGUGGUAUAGAGCGCUUCAUUCUGUCUUGUGCAUAAGUCCACAUAGGCUGAUCCGUAUUCCACACACUUGGAUGUCCUCGGUGGCAGACAAUAGUUUUCCAUUAGAGGAAGUGAUUCUCUUCGGAGCCUCGGGCCAAGCCUCAGACAAUAACGCCGCGACCUAAAGCUCGCCUCGGCAGCACCCGAAGUCAGCUCUCAUCACCUCCAGGGGCUACAAACACCCACCCACACCCACACCCACCCCCAGCCCCACCCGGCCUCCUCUGAAGUGGCUUAAAACGACAGGCUUAUCUACACAGAGCUUGUCCGGGUUAAUAAAGGCACAGCGGCUUAUUUGAUUAGGAAUGCAUACAAAGGAGGAGGAUGUGGUAAUCUGUCACCGCGAGACCGCUUCAUCCCAACACCAGUACGCACCGGUGGGUUCCACAGGAGCAACCGGAGGAGGGGUUUAUCUGAACACAGAGGGGAUCACCAG